UAGGGAAUCUUCCGCAAUGGGCGAAAGCCUGACGGAGCAACGCCGCGUGAGUGAUGAAGGUCUUCGGAUCGUAAAACUCUGUUAUUAGGGAAGAACAAAUGUGUAAGUAACUAUGCACGUCUUGACGGUACCUAAUCAGAAAGCCACGGCUAACUACGUGCCAGCAGCCGCGGUACUACGUAGGUGGCAAGCGUUAUCCGGAAUUAUUGGGCGUAAAGCGCGCGUAGGCGGUUUUAUAAGUCUGAUGUGAAAGCCCACGGCUCAACCGUGGAGGGUCAUUGGAAACUGGAAAACUUGAGUGCAGAAGAGGAAAGUGGAAUUCCAUGUGUAGCGGUGAAAUGCGCAGAGAUAUGGAGGAACACCAGUGGCGAAGGCGACUUUCUGGUCGGUAACUGACGCAGAUGUGCGAAAGCGUGGGGAUCAAACAGG
rnacentral:rRNA from 1 species